CCGGGUUUACAACUCCCAAACCCCUGUGAACAUACCACUUGUUGCCUCGGCGGAUCAGCCCGCUCCCGGUAAAACGGGACGGCCCGCCAGAGGACCCCUAAACUCUGUUUCUAUAUGUAACUUCUGAGUAAAACCAUAAAUAAAUCA
rnacentral:misc_RNA from 1 species